rnacentral:rRNA from 1 species
AGUGUAGGCGGCUAUUUAAGUCGGAUGUGAAAGCCCCGGGCUCAACCUGGGAAUUGCAUUCGAAACUGGGUAGCUAGAGUUUGGUAGAGGUAAGUGGAAUUCCAGGUGUAGCGGUGAAAUGCGUAGAUAUCUGGAGGAACAUCAGUGGCGAAGGCGGCUUACUGGACCAAAACUGACGCUGAGGCUCGAAAGCGUGGGGAGCAAACAGGAUUAGAUACCCUGGUAGUCC